AUACGGAGGGGGCUAGCGUUGUUCGGAAUUACUGGGCGUAAAGCGCGUGUAGGCGGAUCGUUAAGUCAGGGGUGAAAGCCCGAGGCUCAACCCCGGAACUGCCCUUGAUACUGGCGAUCUAGAGUCCGAAAGAGGUGGGCGGAAUUCCCGGUGUAGAGGUGAAAUUCGUAGAUAUCGGGAGGAACACCAGUGGCGAAGGCGGCUCACUGGUCCGGCACUGACGCUGAGACGCGAAAGCGUGGGGAGCAAACAGGAUUAGAAACCCUAGUAGUCC
rnacentral:rRNA from 1 species